rnacentral:lncRNA from 1 species
CUGCGGAGCCGCGGUAGGGGCCAUGCAGCCGUCUUCCGCCUCCACGGCACGAUCCGGCUGCGAUACCAGAAUCCGGGCAGCUGCUUCUUCACAGCCGCCGUUCGUGUCAAAACUCCAGAAGGACUUUGCAAGCUAAUUGCAAUACCCCAUUGCCAGAUCCAAGCUUUGCGAGAUAUUUAAGAGGCAUCGGUAUGAACUUGUUCAGCUCACCGCCGGUUUUCCACAGUUUAUAUUUCACCAUCCAGGUGGUUUUGUGGCAUCAGUGACAGACAAAUCACGCUCCUUUACUGGUUACGCCAGAGGGAAGAAAGCAGCGCUGGCAUAGAGCCCAUUGGCCAGAGCAAGGCAGUCACUAAAAAGCCACGUGGAGCAAAUGGCAGAGAGAGGCCAAGUGGGGAACACUCCAUCUGCUCAGAAACAGAAUGUGGAGAGAUGGAACAAGCUAGGGGCAGCCAGGCAGAAGGAUAGCUGCCAGUACUUAAAGCUGGCUGAGCCAAGCAGCUGCUUGGAGCAUCCCCAGUGGAGGAGCUCCUCCAGUUUUCCCAUGGGAAACGAGAGGAUGAUGCAGUGGCAGCCUUUUGAGUUACACUUGCUGCAGGUCAUAUAGCAACUAGAAGCCUGCCCUGGCCUCAGAGAGGAUCUGCAGUGCCCACAGGAAUCGUGGGGUUGGGUGGCCCUCAAUAAUGAUGCUGCUUUUGCUGUCUUUACCUGCACACGGCAUUGGAAAGAAGAAAAUUUGCUGCACAUUUGAAGACGGAGUCAACUUUCUCUGCAGAGAUCUUUUCGCUCUAGAAAUACUGUCUUGUUUUUAAAAUGUGAUUUUGAUAGCAGCAGGUUGGGCAGUUUUGCAUGUACAGGGCUGGAAAUUAAACCAUCAACUUGGUUUCAACAAGAGCUAUUGGGCAAGAGGAUGGGAGAAGAGAAUGAUUCUUUCCCUGGUAGGAAUUGAAUGUGCCACUUUAGAAAAGGAGAAGGAGAGUACUCCUUUUGGAGAGACUAGGGCUACUUCCCACGUGAUCUACAGAAAAGCAAAGACACAAAAAGCGGGUUAGCCCAAAUAAAAGAUGUACUGACCCACUGCA